ACAGUUUCUAUUACAUUUCUUCACAAAAGAAAUCCUGGCAAGACAGCAGAAUGAGGUCUGCAGAGAGGUGCAGACCUGAUGAUAUCAACAGCAAAGAAGAACAGGAGUUCACGAGACGUUUCCAGAGGCUCGUGUGGAUCGGACUGACUGACAGAGAGACAGGAGGGGAAGUGGAAAUGGGUGGAUGGGACUCCGCUGACCACAAGCUACUGGGGCCCCAAUGAGCCAAACAGUCAUAAAGGCAGAGAUGAAGACUGCGGAGAAAUAAAGUUCUAUGAUGAUAAAAACAGCUGGAACGAUCAACGGUGUGAAUCUCAAAAACAUCUGGAUCUGUGAAAAGACGAUGUCUCUGUAACUCAACAACCAAACAAGACAACAACUGAAAUGUUGGUUAUGGCCAAGCUGCAGAUAAUAUAGCUCAUUUUCA